AUGGAUGGAAUCAAAUAUGCAGUAUUUACAGAAAAAAGUCUUCGUUUAUUGGGAAAGAAUCAAUAUACUUUUAAUGUCGAAUCGGGAUUCACUAAGAUAGAAAUAAAGCAUUGGGUCGAACUCUUCUUUGGUGUUAAGGUGGUAGCUGUGAAUAGCCAUCGACUACCUGGAAAAGGUAGAAGAAUAGGACCUCUUCUGGGCCAUACAAUGCAUUACAGAUGUAUGAUCAUUACCCUUCAACCGGGUUAUUCUAUUCCACUUCUAGAUAGAGAAAAAACUAAAGGAGAAUACUUAAUAAUACGGCGAAACAUUUAUACAAAACACCUAUCCCAAGCACACGCAAGGGAACCGUAG
rnacentral:rRNA from 1 species